GUUUUAAGGGUUUUUUUCGUGCAGGGUCUAAAUGCAGAAAGCCCAUAAGAAAAGAAAUCAAAACAAUUCAUUUCUUGACAGUCCCUUGCCUUUAAGAGGUGAGCUGAUUUCCAAAGUCAUCCUCCUCCCUGCUGCGUCAGUUCCUUUCUGUGAGGGCGGAGUCAAGAGCCUCCAACACCCUUGAAGAUCAGCUGAUAGGAAAUUCCAAGAGUCACAAGGAAGCCCUGCUCUGCCAACCAGGAGUCAGCACAGCUCUGGUUUGCUGUCAUUUCUUACCCCUGAGAGAGCAGCCUUCUGCCUGCUGGGAGGAGAGCUGCUGAAAGACACCUCUUUCUUGGGGUCUUUCACAGAGUGACCCCUCCUCGCAUCACAGCCCUGGUCUAGCAAGGCACCAGUGAGGAAACUGAAGCCUCAAAACUUCAACAGGAUAAGAAAUGUGUAACUUCUGAAGCAUGCUGGAGCCAAUGUGAUGUUUCAGAGCCAGCCUCUAUUCUUAGAAAAAUGGUGAAAGUCAUAAUUUAAAAAUAAAAUCAAGUGCAGUGCUAGCAGAGUCAUA